UUUAAUAUAGCAUAAUUAAUGUAAUCAGUUUCGGCCUGAAGGAUUUUAUUAAUA
rnacentral:tRNA from 1 species